CCUUUGUACACACCGCCCGUCGCUACUACCGAUUGAAUGGCUCAGUGAGGCGUCCGGACUGGCCCAGAGAGGAGGGAAGCCACCACUCAGGGCCGGAAAGCUCUCCAAACUCGGUCAUUUAGAGG
rnacentral:rRNA from 1 species